rnacentral:rRNA from 1 species
AGCGAACGCUGGCGGCAGGCUUAACACAUGCAAGUCGAACGCCCCGCAAGGGGAGUGGCAGACGGGUGAGUAACACGUGGGAACGUACCCUUUGGUUCGGAAUAACUUGGGGAAACUCAAGCUAAUACCGGAUAAGCCCUUAUGGGGAAAGGUUUACUGCCGAAGGAUCGGCCCGCGUCUGAUUAGCUGGUUGGUGAGGUAAUGGCUCACCAAGGCGACGAUCAGUAGCUGGUCUGAGAGGAUGAUCAGCCACACUGGGACUGAGACACGGCCCAGACUCCUACGGGAGGCAGCAGUGGGGAAUAUUGGACAAUGGGGGCAACCCUGAUCCAGCCACGCCGCGUGAGUGAUGAAGGCCUUAGGGUUGUAAAGCUCUUUUACCCGGGACGAUAAUGACUGUACCGGGAGAAUAAGCCCCGGCUAACUUCGUGCCAGCCGCCGCGGUAA